AUUGAACGCUGGCGGCAGGCUUAACACAUGCAAGUCGAGCGGGGAAGGGUAGCUUGCUACCUAACCUAGCGGCGGACGGGUGAGUAAUGCUUAGGAAUCUGCCUAUUAGUGGGGGACAACAUUCCGAAAGGAAUGCUAAUACCGCAUACGCCCUACGGGGGAAAGCAGGGGAUCUUCGGACCUUGCGCUAAUAGAUGAGACCAAGUCAGAUUAGCUAGUUGGUGGGGUAAAGGCCUACCAAGGCGACGAUCUGUAGCGGGUCUGAGAGGAUGAUCCGCCACACUGGGACUGAGACACGGCCCAGACUCCUACGGGAGGCAGCAGUGGGGAAUAUUGGACAAUGGGCGGAAGCCUGAUCCAGCCAUGCCGCGUGUGUGAAGAAGGCCUUAUGGUUGUAAAGCACUUUAAGCGAGGAGGAGGCUACUUAGAUUAAUACUCUAGGAUAGUGGACGUUACUCGCAGAAUAAGCACCGGCUAACUCUGUGCCAGCCGCCGCAGUAACAC
rnacentral:rRNA from 1 species